rnacentral:rRNA from 1 species
CAGGCUUAACACAUGCAAGUCGAGGGGCAGCGGGGGUAGCAAUACCCGCCGGCGACCGGCGCACGGGUGAGUAACGCGUAUGCAACUUACCUAUCAGAGGGGGAUAACCCGGCGAAAGUCGGACUAAUACCGCAUGAAGCAGGGGCCCCGCAUGGGGAUAUUUGCUAAAGAUUCAUCGCUGAUAGAUAGGCAUGCGUUCCAUUAGGCAGUUGGCGGGGUAACGGCCCACCAAACCGACGAUGGAUAGGGGUUCUGAGAGGAAGGUCCCCCACAUUGGUACUGAGACACGGACCAAACUCCUACGGGAGGCAGCAGUGAGGAAUAUUGGUCAAUGGCCGAGAGGCUGAACCAGCCAAGUCGCGUGAGGGAUGAAGGUUCUAUGGAUCGUAAACCUCUUUUAUAAGGGAAUAAAGUGCGGGACGUGUCCCGUUUUGUAUGUACCUUAUGAAUAAGGAUCGGCUAACUCCGUGCCAGCAGCCGCGGUAAUACGGAGGAUCCGAGCGUUAUCCGGAUUUAUUGGGUUUAAAGGGUGCGUAGGCGGCCUUUUAAGUCAGCGGUGAAAGUCUGUGGCUCAACCAUAGAAUUGCCGUUGAAACUGGGGGGGCUUGAGUAUGUUUGAGGCAGGCGGAAUGCGUGGUGUAGCGGUGAAAUGCAUAGAUAUCACGCAGAACCCCGAUUGCGAAGGCAGCCUGCCAAGCCAUUACUGACGCUGAUGCACGAAAGCGUGGGGAUCAAACAGGAUUAGAUACCCUGGUAGUCCACGCAGUAAACGAUGAUCACUAGCUGUUUGCGAUACACUGUAAGCGGCACAGCGAAAGCGUUAAGUGAUCCACCUGGGGAGUACGCCGGCAACGGUGAAACUCAAAGGAAUUGACGGGGGCCCGCACAAGCGGAGGAACAUGUGGUUUAAUUCGAUGAUACGCGAGGAACCUUACCCGGGUUUGAACGCAUUCGGACCGAGGUGGAAACACCUUUUCUAGCAAUAGCCGUUUGCGAGGUGCUGCAUGGUUGUCGUCAGCUCGUGCCGUGAGGUGUCGGCUUAAGUGCCAUAACGAGCGCAACCCUUGCCACUAGUUACUAACAGGUAAAGCUGAGGACUCUGGUGGGACUGCCAGCGUAAGCUGCGAGGAAGGCGGGGAUGACGUCAAAUCAGCACGGCCCUUACAUCCGGGGCGACACACGUGUUACAAUGGCGUGGACAAAGGGAGGCCACCUGGCGACAGGGAGCGAAUCCCCAAACCACGUCUCAGUUCGGAUCGGAGUCUGCAACCCGACUCCGUGAAGCUGGAUUCGCUAGUAAUCGCGCAUCAGCCAUGGCGCGGUGAAUACGUUCCCGGGCCUUGUACACACCGCCCGUCAAGCCAUGGGAGCCGGGGGUACCUGAAGUCCGUAACCGCGAGGAUCGGCCUAGGGUAAAACUGGUGACUGGGGCUAAG